GUCAAAGAACAUAGAUGUUAGGGAGCCUCUUAUAAUGCUAAAAAUGUGGCAUGGGGAGCAAUGGUUUCUCUUAAAACCUGAACGGGCGUGUUUUCCCGCAGUUAUCUGGGGAUCAGUGGCUGUGGGUGUUUGAACAGAUGUAGACACAUCACACCGGCUCAAUGCGAGUCGACAGUGCAGUUUUUAGAGGCUUUCAAAUGAGCUGACACGGCCCCUCUGAGAGGAGUGUCUGCGAAUGACACGUUCAGUCUGCAGCCAUUCAGAUGGACACAGGAGUUAUGGGUAUUCACCAGAGCAAAUGAAGUGUGUCUGCGCUGCUGAUGGUCCGGAUGUGUCCAUCUGCCCUGAAUGAACCCACACUGGAGCACAGGGCGCUCAUGCUGCUGCUGAUGACAUUCACUGACUCCUUUUCAACUUUUGAGAAGGAAUUUGCCUGAACUACUGUGAAUAUUUGUCCACUUAUGGAAAUCAAUCUGUUCGUCCAUCCAUCCAUCUAGUGUUUGGUGAAGGCAGGAUCCCCUCUGAAGUUCUUCCAUUUAUUCCUUAGUGUGGAGUAAGUUCCAAUGAGUUAUGAGUAACUGAUUACUUAAGUAGUAUAUCACAGUAAUACUUUAAGUUUAUUUUCUACAAAGUAGUGUAAAAACAUUACAAACAUUACAUUACUUGUUUUUCUUAACUAUUGUGUAUAAUCUUUUAUCACUGAGACAGUUGAUGUCUAUUUUUUAAGUUUUAGUUUAGUUUUUAAUCUUUUUUAAACACUGUCCUUCAUUUGUUCUCUAGUUAAUGUUUGUUUUUUGAGUCGAUAUCCUAUAUUUUUUGUUUCUCUGUACUAAACUGCUUAAAGCAAACGGUUGCUCCCCCAGAACAACAUUAAUGAUCAUUUAAUUUCAUUGUAUCAUCACAUUGAUUACUUUGUGGUACAUUUGUAACUUUGUAUUAAAUUCUACUGGUAACUCUUCCUCUCCAUGCUUGAACUUAUUUCUAAUUGUUUUAAAAUUUUUCUUCAGGUUUUUUUCUAUUCAAGGUGAUGCCAAAUUAAGUGGAGUCCUAGACUGAAGGGUGCUUUGCAAAUUAGUGACAUACGGCAUGAAGGGGUCAAAAGUCGUACAGCAGUCAUGUCACAUGUCUGAGACAGCAAUACCGUAAGGUGAGGGAUUACCGUAUUCUUCGGACUAUAAGUUGCUCUGGGGUAUAAGUCACAGAUGCCAAAAAAGUUAACAAUAAAGGAGAAAAACAUCAUUUAUAGGUCACACCCCCACCCAAAUGUAGCAAAGACGCAUCUUAUAUUUUGACAAAUACGGUACUUUUGAACUUUAAAUACAGUUAAGCUGUUAUUUAUUAUCAAUUGGCUGUAACUUGUUUGAGUUAUG